UACGUUCUUUUCUCGCAUGAGAGAAGAUGGAAAGACGGUUUUGCUGUCACUUAUAGAUGGGCCCGCGGCGCAUUAGCUAGUUGGUGAGGUAAUGGCUCACCAAGGCGACGAUGCGUAGCCGACCUGAGAGGGUGAUCGGCCACACUGGGACUGAGACACGGCCCAGACUCCUACGGGAGGCAGCAGUAGGGAAUCUUCCGCAAUGGACGAAAGUCUGACGGAGCAACGCCGCGUGAACGAAGAAGGCCUUCGGGUCGUAAAGUUCUGUUGUUAGGGAAGAACAAGUACCAGAGUAACUACUGGUACCUUGACGGUACCUAACCAGAAAGCCACGGCUAACUACGUGCCAGCAGCCGCGGUAAUACGUAGGUGGCAAGCGUUGUCCGGAAUUAUUGGGCGUAAAGCGCGCGCAGGUGGUUCCUUAAGUCUGAUGUGAAAGCCCACGGCUCAACCGUGGAGGGUCAUUGGAAACUGGGGAACUUGAGUGCAGAAGAGGAAAGUGGAAUUCCAAGUGUAGCGGUGAAAUGCGUAGAGAUUUGGAGGAACACCAGUGGCGA
rnacentral:rRNA from 1 species